ACCGAGACUAGAGUCACAUCUAAAUGUCAUCAGUCAUUGUGGUGUGCUAUAGUACUCGGAAAGGAAUAGCUGAUCUUUAUUCACUGACUCUGUUAUUCAGUGGCAGAGCCAGUCACCAGGUUAGCGACAAAA
rnacentral:snoRNA from 1 species